UCAUGGCCCAGCACGACCCUCCACCCUGGACCAAGUAUGUCGGUAUGUAUCAGAAAAUAUAAAACUAGGCAAUUUGUCGGCUCUUCGAACUUUCAGAGUCCUGAGAGCUCUAAAAACUAUUUCAGUUAUCCCAGGCUGAAGACCAUCGUGGGGGCCCUGAUCCAGUCUGUGAAGAAGCUGGCUGAUGUGAUGGUCCUCACAGUCUUCUGCCUCAGCGUCUUUGCCCUCAUCGGCCUGCAGCUCUUCAUGGGCAACCUAAGGCACAAGUGCGUGCGCAACUUCACAGCGCUCAACGGCACCAACGGCUCCGUGGAGGCCGACGGCUUGGUCUGGGAAU
rnacentral:lncRNA from 1 species